rnacentral:lncRNA from 1 species
GGCUGCGCGUGUGUGGUGGUUAUUUAUUUAUUUUUCUAAGCACGCCUCUUGCUUCUUCUUUUAUUCUUGGGGGAAGGGGGAUGGGGAGGAGAAGCGCACACGCGAGCACCCACCCUGGCAAGGAGACCGGGCACCGCGGAAUGGAGCCCCGCGCGCGCACUCUGCCGGGAUUAAGACCGAUCACAUGGGGAGGGCCGGGGGCGAGAGAGAAGAGGCAGGGCCGCCGAUGUCAGUGCCACCAGCCGUGCCUCGGCGUCCCCGGCGGCGGAGAGGCGGCCGCCGCUGCCGCUGCCGCUGCCGCUGCUGCCGCCGCCGCCGCCGCCGCCGCCGCUUCCCCACGCCGAACGCCGCCGCCGAUCCGCGGCCGCCGGAGACGUCCCGCCGCUGCGCUCCCCCGCGCUCGCCUCUGCCUCCCCGCGUCGCUCCUCCACUCGCACAGGCACAGCCGCGGAGCUCGGCAGACACAGUCCCGGGCGCAACCUACCCUCCUCCUCCGCCGCCGCCGCCGCCGCCGCCUCCGCCACCGCGCCCGCCUCCGCCUCCUCCCCUUCCUCCUCCCGGCCCCCGCCUCCAGCGCCCCGGCAGCCUCCACCUCCCUGCGCAGCCCGCCCCCCGCCCCCCGCCCCCCGCUCCCCGCCCCGACGUCAAGGCUGCGGGCGCCCAUUGGCUGGCGUGCGCGUCACUCACCGCUGGGUGCGGCCUCCGCGCUCGGCCCGCCUCCGCCCCUCCCCGCGGGCCCCGCCCCCCGCUCUGUUUUCUCGCGGCCGCCGGCCCCGCGGGCCUGCCUCCUCCGCCGCCCGGCCGCGCUCAGGUGUCGCUGUGGCUGGCCGGCGCCGCUUUGGCCACUGCGCCUGGUCGGCUGGUUCAGCCGCAGUCCCUCCGACGUCCACCUGGUGCCCCCGGUGUGUGCAGGGCCCUGA